rnacentral:rRNA from 1 species
UACGUAGGGCGCGAGCGUUGUCCGGAUUUAUUGGGCGUAAAGAGCUCGUAGGCGGCUUGUUGCGUCGACCGUGAAAACCCGUGGCUUAACUGCGGGCUUGCGGUCGAUACGGGCGGGCUGGAGUUCGGUAGGGGAGACUGGAAUUCCUGGUGUAGCGGUGAAAUGCGCAGAUAUCAGGAGGAACACCGGUGGCGAAGGCGGGUCUCUGGGCCGAUACUGACGCUGAGGAGCGAAAGCGUGGGGAGCGAACAGG